rnacentral:lncRNA from 1 species
UUUUUGAGGCUUCUGAGUCUCUAUGACAUUCAAAUUGCUUCAUUUCUCUUCCCCUAAUUUCUAAUUUUCUCCUUAGAUAAAGUCAUUACACACAAGAAAGGGUUCGUUGCAAAGCAAUCCAACAUUUGCAUGUCGCUGAUGUAUGUGUUGCCCCAACACAAGGCACUGAAUAAAUAACUACUGAAUUUAACAGAUUAGUCAUUUUGAUACUAGACCAUAUUCUCUAGCCAAAGAUAAGACCAUAGAUUUUAUGUGGUCUAGUUGUUAAAAUGCAGUUAA